GACGUAGGGCGCGAGCGUUGUCCGGAUUAUUGGGCGUAAAGAGCUCGUAGGCGGCUUGUCGCGUCGACUGUGAAAACCCGCGGCUCAACUGCGGGCCUGCAGCCGAUACGGGCAGGCUAGAGUUCGGUAGGGGAGACUGGAAUUCCUGGUGUAGCGGUGAAAUGCGCAGAUAUCAGGAGGAACACCGGUGGCGAAGGCGGCUUUCUUGGACCGAAUACUGACGAUCAGGUGCGAAAGCGUGGGGAGCAAACAGG
rnacentral:rRNA from 1 species